rnacentral:lncRNA from 1 species
GUGGCCUUCUCGAAGCGGGAGAAGAGAGUGUGGCCUUUUGGGGGAAACCAGCUGCAUGUCAUGAGAAGCCCUAAGGAGAGGCCCAUGUAGUAAAGAACUGAGCCUACUGGCAACAGCUAGUGUCAACUUGCUGGUCAUGUCAGUGUGCCACUGUGGAAACAGAUCUUCUGGUCCAGGUCAAAGCUGAGACUGAAUUCCCAGCUAACAUCAUGACUUAUGAGAGACCACAAAUCACAUCAUCAGCUAAGUCACCCCUUAUCUCUGUGAGAUAAUAAAUGUUUGCUAUUGUAAGCUGCUAAAUCUUGGGAAAUUGCUACAAUGUGGAUAAAGGUCCUUUAAAGUCCCCUGUGUCGAAAGCUUGGUCAUCAGCCUGUGUUAUUGGGAGGUGGUAGAACCUUUAGGAGGUGUGGCCUCAUGGAAGGAAGUUAUGUCUUGAAGAGGAUAUUGGGACUGUGUCCCCUUCCAUGGACUGAAACCUCUGAAACUUGAGCCAAAAUAAACCUUUCCUCUUAUAAGUUGAUUAAUUUGUCACAGUGAUGAAAAGCUGGCUAUCACAAGUAAUUUGUUAUGCAGCAAUAAUUAAUAUAAAGUCAAUAGAAAUUCGAGGUUUUAUCAGUGAUAAUUUUAUAUUGGUGAGUCAGCUUUAUUUUAGAGUCUAAGAAGGAAUUUCUGAAACAAUGUAUGGGCUUUAAAUUUUCUAGACACUGGCUCCCAUUCAGUCUGUGAAUGUAGAAAGACAGAAGUAGAGGAGUUCAUAUAAAAUGUCUGCAAAAAAGAUUUUUCUGCAGAAGGAUAGGGGGAACUUCAACUAUCUUGCUUAUUGCAACAUCCUCAAUGUCUACCACAGAGCUUGGCAAUAGGAGACUCCCUACAAAUCCUUCUUUAAUAAAUGAAUGAAUGGUGAACUGUAACCUUGACUGAGCCAUUCACUUAUCUGUUCAACCAUCAUUUAUUAAGCUCCUACCAUGUGUCAGGUUCGUUGCUCAGACUCAUGGGCCAUUUGUGUCAUAUAUAAAGUCACUUCUACCUUUCACCUUCACUGUACCUUCCCUCACUGUUCUCUCCUUGGUAUUUCUUUGUUAUUUUUGUUGAGAUUUGCAUAUUCUUUAGCUUCUACAUUGAAC